GGGCCGCGCCGUCUCUGCGCCGGGAGCUGACCUCCGGCAACGCUGAGAUCGGGGGGGAGCCGCUCCGAGCUGUUCAGGAGUUUUAAACGCGCUUCUGCGGGGUGUGAGCGAGGAGCGUUGGGGUUAAUCAUUCUCCCUUAAAAAAUGAAAUAAAAUAAUAAAAAUUAGCCACAAGCGGUGCGUUUGGUAAUUAAAGCGAUUCGUGUGAAAGAAUAACGGUUGUUAAGCGAGGUGGUCGGCGUGGCUCCGCGUGUGUGCGAUGUGCGGGCACUUCGCUCGUUGGGCUUUUCGGAAAGGCGGCCGUACGUACGCGCUGCCCGCGGAGCGUCGGUGCCCCGCCGGUCCCCCGCCUCGGCCGCGCUCCCAGCCGUGUUCCGGGUGUCGGCGAGGGGAGAGGUGGCGGGAGGGGGGGCAGCCUGCGCAGAGCCCGACUUACUGCUUCACAUCGGCUGCACUACGUCCAGAAAACUACAUUUAAAAAAACAAGAAAGGGACAUUUCUCCGUUUUUCUUCCUAAAAUAAUUCCUUAUAUGCAGACACAGAGCUUUCGCUCACGAAUAUAUUGUUCGGCUACGAGAUGUAUUUUUGCAGUGAUAUAUAUUUUGCGACGCUACCUAUUUUUGCUGCGAUAUCUGUAUUAUUAUAGCAUUGCAAUCGGAGCUCUCCCCUUGCCGUUCAGGAGCUCCCCGUGGGGCGGUGCAUCCCGCCCCGAGCCGGGGCUGUGCUGUGCCGCUUUGCCGCACUUCCGUCCCCCCGCGUUAUUUGUCGGUGGCACUUUUAGGAACACCGCUUCUCGGCGCUCCCUUCCCCGCCGCCGCCGCUCUCUCGGCCGCUCGGAGCCGUACGGGAACCGCUCCCGGAGAGCGGAGGGGAGCGCCGUGAUUCAUGAGCCGGGGGUGGAACGGGAACGGCGGAAUGCAAUGAACGGGCGUUACUGCCGGCUCCGGCCAUUGUUACGGGAAAAGCUGCGAUAAAACUCCAGCGGGGGCUUUUCUCGAUGUGGUCCCGUUCAACUUUUCACGAGAGGUCAAUGCCGUUUAAAAGCAAUGCUGAAGGUCCGAGGCAGCGAUGUGACCGCGGCGUUCCCUCUCGGAGCGGAGCGGUGCGGGGACGCUCGGUGGGACCCCCCGGGCGGGGCGGGGGACAGGAGGGACCUCGGGCUCCGCUCCUCGCAGCCCCCCCACCUCCAUUCCGCCUCGGGGUGAGACUCCCGCACGGUCACAGGGAGGAAAAAACCAUUCGGUGGUGGAAGAAAAGGCGAUUAAAUUAAAUUACUUUGGGGAUUACGGGCCACAUGCGGUGUAUUAAAGUGCUUUAAGCUACUUUGUAGCUUCUUUGGCAUUAGGGCGUUUAAUACGGGCUCGGUCGGUCUGCACGAGUGCUUUGCUGGGUGAGAAAGAGCGGGGUGGGAGAGAGAUGGGAUGCAGAGGAAAAGCAGACGGGAGAGGCACAGAGAUCUCGGGCUCUGAGAGCUUUGCUUUGCUCCAUGUAAACAAAAUCCGGCUUUAAUUUGCCGUGCUAUAAACAAUAAUUUUCCAAUCGGGGUCACUGAUACGAAAGGAAAAUGACCAUCUGUAGGCAGGGAUCUGAAAUGGGUAAUGCCGCCCGGGCAGCGUGCUUUAUAUAUUGCCGAUGGGGCUCGGGGACAGCCGCUGCCAGCCCCCGGCGUGCAGUGCCCGGCAGGGACGAGGGCACAAACGUCGGAGAUUUGAGGCUGAGGAAGGAGAAAGUCGAUUCCUUUCCCAGAUCCUUUCCCCCGCACACGAGCAGUUCAGUCGGGCAGUGCGUCGGCCGUCGGCAGAUGUGUCAGAUUCGGAGGUUCGGAUCCGCAGCAGCGUGGGGAGCUCCUGGAAUCACGGAGCAUGUGUCACAUUUCUCACUUGGUUCUGGAUGUACCGAGAGAGAAAGGUGGGGGGUGUGGGGGGUGACGGGACAAGGAGGUUCCCUGCUUGUUUUUCCCUAAGGCAAAUAUCUCUUCCAUGAUCGAGAGAAGAGGCGGCAGUGUUUUUGCAGUGGUGCGAAGUGUGGCUGUUGCUAGAAAUGCUUCUCACUUUAUUCCUGAAAAGUGUGCCAGAUGCACAGGAGAGCUCGCACUGCUUUAUUUAUGUAAUGCGAUGUGAGGGGGAACGGGGGGAGUUCUCUGUCCCUGGUGCAGCCGAUUUGGCUAAAUUUGCCGUGCUGCAAAAGCUACGUGCUCAUUUAUCCCACUGGCAGAACAGAGGGGCCUCUCCUUGUUGCUGCAUCCCUGCUCCCUGAGGAUGCUGCUCAGAAAGCCCACUGCCCUCAGCGUGCCCUGUGCUCAGCUCAACCUGCGUCAGCCAAAGGGCUGGGGGCAUCGUGUCCCACGCUGAGGGAUCAACCAUGCACUGCUGGGCUCAUACAGAUUGCGGCACGAGCUCCCUGCUCUGCCACAUCCCGGCCCCAGGCACAGAGAUGGGAGCAUGGAGCCCUCACCGUGAGCAGAUGAGGGUGAGUUAAGAGGGUACACCCCAAUGCAGGGGCUGGGGAACUUCUCGCCCUGCAGUCAGGUUUUUGCUUCUGUUACAAAGAGCUCUUAAAACAUAAUAAAUAGAGCAGAGAGAAAACAAGCGUUUCCCUAAGUGGGACCACGUUGCUCUUCCCAGCUGCCUGAGGAACAGAAUGUUUUGAUGAAAUCAAUGAUGAUGUAUACGAAACAAUUUUACUCUUAACCAACUGCCACCUUACUUCCUGCCAUGCUGAUCUAUUCAGACACAAACACUUUCUCUUCCUUAAGAAUAUAUAUUUGCUCGAGGAGAGUCAUCAAAAACUGGGUGGAUAAUUCCUAUGAAUCAGCGCUGUCCUAAGAGAAAGCAGCACUCAGAAUCGGAAAGCAAACAGUCCGGAGACAGCGCUGGGAGGGCUGCAAUGCUGUCCUGCUGGUUUCCCCUCGAAGGGCCAGUGGGUUCCCCUGCCCUCACCAUGCACACAGCACAUGGCAGGCACAGAUCUCAGCCCCUGGGAAGGGGCAUCGGGACUCUUUGCCCUCUCCCCGUGUGCCCUCUCCUCUGUAGAAACUGCUGGUGGCACACAGAGGCCUCUGCUGCACCGAGCGAGAUUCACACACUCGGGAGCUUUAAUUAGAACCAUGCUGCAAGCAGUGCUUUCAUAGCUUCUCCAAUUUAUUAUUUAUGAUAUAAAGCAAUGACAAAGCAACAUGAAAAUAUCUGCUUGUUAAGGCAAAAUGACAUGUGAUGGCACAGGGCAAUAAACAUAAAAAAAAAAGAAGAGAAUUUCCAUGGCAGUGCCCACCUGGUGCAGUACCUGGCAGUGCCUACCUGGUGUAUAGGGUCGCACUGUGCUCAGAGCCCCAUCUGCUGGGUCACUGCCAUCGCAUGGAGGUGCCGCGUCCCUGGAUGAGAUGGGGAAAACACCGCACAGAGGUACGGGAGGUUUCACGGGCAGAUACUGGUGCUCUGACAGCGUUUUCUUCCCCGUUAGUCCUCCCUUUCAUCAGCGCGGCAGAAAAAGAGACUGCUGCAAGCCGCACAUUGACAGCGGUCAUUUAAACUGCUGCUGAGAGAGUGUGACGGGCUGUAGCGUUCAGGCUACGGUGCCGUGGCCGUGCUGUUUGUUCAGCUCGUUUCCCGGCUGAGAGACGCGCACCCAGCUGCACACCGACGGCUCCUCUGGUCACACUUGCACUCUUUGAAGUGCGGGUGUUUGUCGGCACUCGCACCCCCGGCUUUGCUUCCUAAAGCCCACCGAGAUAGCGGCUGGCAGUGCUGUGCAGUGCUGCCUUCUCCUCCCGGCCGCUGCCAGAAACAACACGGCCGCUCUGAGCGAGGACGGGAUGGUGCCUGCACUGUGAGGGGCGGCCCGUGCUUUGCGGCUGCCUUCCCCCAGCGGGCAGGAGGCUCUCCGGGGUGCUGUGUGUGUUAGUACAGAGCCUUGGUUGGUAGGGGCAGCUCUGAAACUGAGAGGGAAAAUUAAAAUAGGUGCAGCUGUGGCUGGCUCUUGACGGAGAGGGUUCGGAGCGCAAAGUGAAACGGGGAUGCAGCAGAAACUGGGUUACGUGGCUCUGAGUAAAUGCUCUCCCGUCAGAGCAGGAUUUAUUUUACAUCACUGCUCUAGUUCUUGUCCUGAGGAUGUUUAACUCACCCGGAGCUGUUUGGUCUCCAGGAUGGAUUCCUACAAUUACGUGUUUAUGAUUGCGAGCGCUGCCACGGGAAGCAGCAGGAGGAUAUCAUUUUGGGAGUGCUGGGAGGCACAGAGGGAGCUGGGAGAGCCUUCUCCUGGGCUUCAGCCACUGCUACACUUCGGAGGGAGGCUGCAGCGCACUUCAGGCCUGACGUGCUGCUGCACUUAGCAGCUUGAAUAACAGGGCAUCAGAUGGGUAUUACUGCAUCGCUGUAACUUUAAACUUCUUCCACAUAGUGACAACGUGCAGCUUGGAGCUGUGCGCGGUGCUCACCUCAGAUGUGUUUUCAGAGUGCUCGCAGCAGGCAACGAACACGGCCUGCCCAAGGCCCCGUGGCUGCAGGCCUGCAGGGCUGGGCACGGCCUCCCACAGCCCCACGCACUGCACAAUCUCAGUGACCUGCCCAGCGCCCGCCUGCUGCCCAAGGAUGCUUGGAGCUUCUCGGUCACACGCCGCGGUGCAGAGCUUGGGGACGCCCGGCUGUGGGAGCCCUGGCUGGGAUAAGCCAUGUCCAAGGCCGGAUCGUGGGCAUCUAUCUCAGCCAUCUGCCUGCAGCCCCGCACCAGAUGUGGCUCGAAAUCCUCAGAUGCCCUCUGCUGCCAUGGACCAGAAUUAACAGAUGGCUCUGUAUAACUGGGUUUAGAUUUGCUGAAGUUUGCUAUUAUCUCUGUUUUUGUAAAUGGAUGGGGGAGGGGAAAUAAUAUCUGGGAUUAUUACAAAACAGGCAGAGCUUUUUAAAAAGUGUUAAGUCUGGGGCUGGGUCCCUUCUAACUGUGAAUGCCAUUGUCCCAUAUUUCAAAAUGUUAACACUAUUUUUAGCUUUCUCUUCAGAGCUCCCUCCCCUGAUAGCUUAUCCCUCUGGGUAUGAGUUUGGCUCAGCGAGCCGCCUAGGGCACGGCACACUUUACCCCAGCAUUUUGGGCCCCAUUGUGUCUGAUGGAACCAGCUCUGCUAUUGUGGCUGGGCUCUGCUCAGGGCAGGCACUGAGAGACACUUUCAGCUGCCCGAUGUCCCUCUGUAUCACACAGGCUGGCUUGUGGGGGUCUGUAUCUGAAGUGGGACGGGUGGCACCUAUUUCCCACAUACAUGCCUGCAUCAGGGCAGGUCUGUGUGCAGUGAUACGCACAGCAGCUCUGGAACACAACAGAUCCUGGAGGGGAUCCCAUGGCAAGCUCCAAGAAUUGAGCGGCUUUGCCGAGCCUGAGCUUUCGCUCUGCCUGAGCUUCUGCUGUUUCUCACAGCAGCUCCUGUGAGGAAAAGCCAACCAAACCUCCCUACCUAAGUUCCCAGCCUGGUUCCCAGUGGAGAGUACCAAGGUGCGCUGUGUGCCCUCUCUGUACAUCUCCAUAGCCACCUCAUGUCCUGGGGCCAGCUGUUCACUGGCAUGGGAUGGGAUAGGAUGGGAUGGGAUGGGAUGGGAUGGGAUGGGAUGGGAUGGGCAUUCCCAGCCAUCCUCCACUUUUAGCCACACAGUUCUAUGCUGCUUGCAUUGUUCUAAAGUUUGCUUUGUUUUCUUUCUUUUUUUUUUAAUUUCUCUUCUAGAACAUAAUCUUGAAUUUACAGAAGUCCAUGGCAAAAUCUGGUUGUGAAGGGGGCUUUGUUCUGCGAGACUAUUUCUGAAGACUCCUGGCUCUCUGUCUGCCUUUGUGUACAAGGCUGACACACGGGCCCAUCCACCCGCACUGUGCCCAGCAGCACGCCCGCUCCUUCCAGCUGCUCUAUUGCAGGGAUGCACGUAACCCUCCAGUGGAUGGGCUGUAUCCCAUCACUGUGGCAAACUUGUGGAGCUGUGAUUGCUUAUAAAAUCUGACAGCAUGGUCCACUGCAUGUAUUUUUUCUAAAUCCAUAUUUUUCCAAUUUUUUUUUUCCUGUAGUGGCAAGUUUUUUUCUAUCCAUCUGGGAGCAGAAUCCUGUGCUCAGCGUAUGUAAAUAACAGCUGUUUCCACUCAAUUGCAUUUAUGUACUUAACACUUCAAAAUAGAUUUUUUUCUAGAAGUUUCACAAUCUAGUCACCAUCCAUGCUUAGACAGAGGUACUGGGGAGAGGUUAAUGAAACCCCUCUGGACUGGCUGACAAAAGUAUACAGCUGCAGCUCUGGAAUCCCCGCACAGGAUGGAUUGCUGAUGCUGACGGCCGUGCUCCAAUGCAUUCUGGAGGCAACUUCAUUCCUGAAGCAGCCUCGUCUCUGGCUUCUGGGGCUACUGGGGAGAUAGCAGGGUGCCACGUGAAGAGAGGAGCUGUGCUGGUAGUGCCUUCCAGGCAAAGUUAAUUUGUCAUGUAGAGCAGCUGAACAGGGGAAAAAAUGGCAAGUAAUUUAGAGGGAAAAGCUUAUCUGCCAGUGUUGCAGAUUUUUAAAUGCAUUAACCUGUGCAUCCUGAGAAGAAAGGGAGCUCUUUAAUGCUCUGAUAUGUCUUUUGUUGUAAUGUCACUAGCUCUGAAAUGAAAAUACAGCCUUUUUAUUUUAAAAUGCCUCAGUGAAGAUUUCAAGAAAUUAGUGCUCAAUUAUUAUUUUUGUCCAGAAGCCUCAUUAUUUUCCCAAGUGCCUCAACCUGAGCUAUUUCAUUAGACUUUUGGAUCCUCUGAAGGCUGAGGAUUACAGAACAUUGAUAUUUAGUUACCCUUCAUUCACUCCAUUUACUCUGAUGCAGACCACUGAAAGAGUUGUGUGUUCCUAAAUCCAGGCUGAUUUUAUGUUACUGUAUUUUUUAUUUUGCUUAUCCAGAAGAAAAAUACUUUGAUGUUUACUGCUGUUUCAACUUGAACACCUGUGAACUGGGCAAGACCGUGCUGAGGACUCAAGCUGUGCAGAGAGAGCAAUAACUGCGUGCGAGCUGUUGCUCUCACACAUCCCAACAUGCCUGUGCCAGAGUGUUUACAGGAGGAGCAAAGAGGGCCUGAGCUUGGGUUGUCUGAGAGAACAGCUACCUGCUCCCACAGGGCAUGUCUUUAUUUCUGGAUAAGAACAUUCCUGAUGCCAGGAGGAUUGGCUUACAGCCGUGCCAACGUGGCUCCUCCUGGGCUCUUCCUGCUUCCCCACUCCGCAGCACUGCCUGCACUCUGGUGCUCUGUGGGUCCAAUGUGGAAUGAUGCUUUUUUGUGUUUCUUUCAGUACAGAGUGCCUGAAAUAAGGUGAAACAGCUCUGCAGCCUCUGAGAAUGGUGCUUCCCUACUGUGAAUGUGAGCUACCUGGAGGUAACAGAGAGACCCAUGGGCUCAUCAGAAGAGGGACUACAGAGAUGCAUGAAAUAAGCAACUCUUGUUUAUUCGGAAUAAUUAGAAUGAAAGAAAAAAAAAUUAACAGCUUCACUACUAACUUUUAAUAUUGGAGAGCUGAUGAAACAAAAGGAGGACUUCUGUAUAUGGACUACAUGCUACUAAAGGUUAGCAGAAACAGCAAAAAAGAAGUCUUCACCUUUAAGCAGAGUACUUCUAUAUUUCUGUCUCUGCUCUCAAACUGUUGCCCUACCCUUCAAACUCAACCAACCAAAAACUAAUUCCCAAACACAAUAAAACUACCUUUAUUUGCCUAGAUGAAGUAGGCAUCUAAAUCUCUACUAAGCUCCUCCUCUCUUCACAGAAGAGAGAAAAGCACCUCCAGAAAACAAUGUGCGGCUUAUUCCAAGCAUUUUUUUUUUUAAUGGGAUUUACUGCCUCGUUGAGGUACUUUGUAUGCGUACCUAUUGACUAUAAGGUGAAUCUAUGACAGUUUACUCAGAUUUACAUGUCUAAUUGGUAGUUGACUCAGUGUUAAGAAACAAGUCUAGCUCUUACAUAUUGUAGGUAUACAAUUAGUCUGAACUUUAUUCUUGUGAAAACUGGGCUCUAAGUCAAUUUAUUCUACAGUAGUAUUAAAGUGAGACUCACAUCCUCCAUUACAGAAGAGGAACGCAGCCUGCACAGCCUAUGUCUGCCUGUUCAUAUAAACCUUGUACUGUUUUUCAGGAUGGAAUGAGCAUGUGGGAAACUGUAACAAUGCACCAUGAAAACUGGAAUAACCGAGAAAAGUGCUGACAUCAAACAUAAAUUCCUAUUGUGAUACAUGAUAGAGCUGCAGCAGAGAUGUAGUGGUGGCACAGUAGAAUUUGGAGAUGUCAGGUGAAAUCCAGGCCCUCCCAACAGCCAGCUUUUCCAUGGGGCUGAAUAGCUGCAGAGGGGAGGGUGGCUAACCACUCCCUCCAUUCUUGUCUCGAGGAACUUAAGCAUGCAGACAUGAAACUCGUCAAAUGGGCACAUUUGGCAGUGCUGUACUUUUGACUCAAUUUUUCAAAACCACAAGGGUUGGGUGGCUUUUUUUGUUGUUGUUUAAUAAGUAUGAAGAAAGAUACAACUCUGAUACAUUAGAAAAGUCAAACAGUUCAAAGCAAACAAGAAAGUGCUAGAAAAGAACCUUUGACCCUUUGAAUCCAAGCACUUUCAGACCUCCCAGGAAAUAUCUUAUUCUUCAGUACUUGCAAAUUUAAUUAAGUAGCAGCUGGUGCAUGCCUCUCAUAGUGUUAAGUCCCACGAUCUAUGGCUUCGAACAAAUCCAGGAGAGCCACUGUGCAAGAUUGCCUCCCGGUGGUGGUACCACGAACCUGCAGAACGACAAUUUGCACGCAGAAAAGGCAAAAAAACCCGUUUGAAAAGAAGGCUUCCUUUUUGAAUUCAGGUCUACGUAGAGUAAGUGAAAAAUUUCAGUGUGAUUUUAACGGCCUGAAUUGAGGAUAAACCUUCUGAUAUGUGACUGAAGCAGAGCUUUCUAGUGGAAUAGCAUACUAACAAGGAAAGCUCAAAGAGACUUUCAGUACAACGUGAAAAAAAAGCUAAAAAUCAGUAAGAUGUACCCAAUUGCACACUAUCCACGGCAAUGAGCCUCCUGAAGUCUGAAACAAUAGCUAUUAAGCACAAGGCAAAUGGCUGAGUGCCUUAAGUUGGAUACAAAAGCACUACAGCAGAUUUCCCAUUCUACCAAUUCUGUGUAACUCAAAUUUUCAAUUACGAAGUUAGCACAAGAGGAGAAAAGACAACAGAAAGUCCCAAACUACCUUUCAAAUUGAUUGUUCUUUUAGGAAAAAGCAGGAAAAGGCUCCAGCAGAUGGAUUUCCAACUCCAAGUCUUCGAGUAAAGAGAAACACACAGUUAAAGACAGCUUUAUGUAGCUGUUCAAGACGAUGAAAGCCAGGAGGACAACUUGAAAUUACUGUGGGAAUAGGAGUUUAGUUGGGUCACGCUUCAGAUGACCCAGACGAAAGAUUUAGUAUAAGAAAACAGAAAUAUUGGCAGCGUAGUGCAAGGAAAGAUUUUAAAACACCCAUUUUAUGGAUUAACGUAACAACAAAUUGGCAGAGGGUACAUGCAGUGAGUGCGUUUCAGACUCGCUCAGUUCCCAGUAACUGCUCAGAAGAGGAAGUACUUUAAAUCAGAUAGCAGUCCCACACAUAACAGAUUUUUAGUGCUCCAAAUACCUCAGGAGUGUUCAGAAACAUUUGGGAAAAAGUGAGAUAUGUAACAACAUUUCUGCAGUGACUGUAGAUGAUUAAUCACCAAGUUUGACAGGCAAGAACAGACAAAUGUAGUAGUACUGUGAUAACAAAAGGCAUCUGCAAGGGAAAACGUCCUAACAGCAUUAUGCAGGCAUAAGCAAGAAUUUGUUUGUGGGGGGGAUAAAUAUUUGAAAGCUGAACCCAAGAAAGAACAUCUUUUUUUAAAUUGGAAUGAAACCAAGCAGAGACUAUUUAGGUCUCAGCUUUCCAAAAAUAAUGGUGGUUCAGUUUUACACGGUGGAUUGUAACAAAACAGUGAGCGUGAGAUGUAAACUUCUCACCUAUGGACCUGUGUCAGUAACAGUCACCAUAAACUGAUGCAAAUAAUAAAAUGUGCUACGCCACCAAUUACUAAAAACCCUUCAAAAAAGUGAUACUAUAGGCAGAAGAAGUACUUUUGUUCAACUGAAUUUGCAGAGUAAGCAGACAUCCUUUCCAAAAACACAGUAAACAUUCCUUCAUGACAGUAUGCUUGAUGACAUGUGAGCAACACACUGGAUCACACACCCAGAAUCACUGUGCUGAUGUAGGAUUACACAUGGCAUCAGAUUAACACAGAAGCGUAGCAGAGCUGUUUCGUGCUAUUCCAGGAGAAAUCAUUACGGGCUACUGGCCUUACAUGUUAAAAAUAACACCCAUCAAAUACGUAGACUAGCUUGGUGCAUCUGCCAUUAACUUCACACAAUCAAAGCAUUUAAGAAAAACAAACUGUUUAAUAACUCUAGAAAAAAGCAGAUGUACUUCAUGCUAAAAUGACCAGAAUUAGAGACUUUAUACGGUACUCAUCUUCUAGCAAAACAUAUGGAUAACACAAACUGGCAAAAUGACACUAGAUGAAUGCAAGAAACAAGAACCUUCCUGUCUUAUCCAAGUUGCCUUGGAAAGGAAGUACGAUCAAAAUGUAUGACAUUUGGGAUUUUUUCUCCAUCAUUAUUUAUUUAGAUGUGCAAAGAUAACAGUAAUGUUACUGGAUCUCUGUGGAGGCACAACGUCCCAAGACGGCACUUUCUGUCAGAAGGCCGAUGCCUAAAACUGGAGGCUGGAGAACAGAAUUUCAUAUUUCUGAGAAAAACGAGAAGAAAGGGAUAAAAUGGAGCUCUACAGACAGCUGGAAAUAUGGCUCGGAAAAGUCUUUAGGACACUGAAGAAUCACACUAAAACUAACAGCAGGUAAUGAAUGUCAGCGAUAUCUACAACGUGCCUUUAUAAGAAGUGUGGUACCAGUAAGAGAAAGAAUAGGAAAUAAAGCUCCAGGUUCCAUCAUUUGACAAAUGAUGGUAAGCAUGAUAAAGAAGAAAUUCUAUUGACAAGUUCCUUGAGGGAGUACGGCUUUUCUCACCUUAUUUCCCUGUUAACUUCUGUAACGUUAGCUUCCAAAAAACUUCUGCAGUGCAGAUGUUGCAAUUCUCAUUAUGUUUUUAUCAUCUUUUCCAUUUCCUACUGAAGUUUCCCAUGCAGCAGCACAAAAUUACCUGGGCUGUGUCUUAACAAUAAGCAUCUGUGAAAACGACUGCUCUUUCUUUAGCUCUUCCACAAUUAAAAAUGUAGUGGUACGGGGCUCAUCAUCGUAUUUGGAAUGAGUCAUGCAUGAUUCUCCAUUCUGCUCAUUUUUGAAACAGUAGCUUCACAAUCAUUAUGACUGAAAACAGUACUUCACUUCAAGUUAUUAUGCAUCUAUAUCCAAAAGCGGCCAAAAGUGUGUUUGAUACCAUCAGAUGACAACUUGAUGGCAGAGCCAGUAACGUGCAAUACACAUCACAUGAGAAGGCCACACAGAGCACGUUGACUUACCAGUUGUAGUCUUCAGGGAGCACUGAGUACGUCGAUUUAUGACAAGCAUGACAUACAGCUCCAACUGCAAGGAAAAAAAGACAAACAAGUUAUAAAACGUUGUCUAAAUAGAAGCUCACUUUAGCAUGAAGAUUUCUAGUGUUACCAAAAACGCAGUAUUUACGUAGCUGUCCUACUUUUGUAUUUCUAUUGUACUGUAUUCCUAAGAAAAAAAACACAGCUUGAACAAAACACAAACGUCACUGUUAUAUCUUUAUAAAUGCUUUAACAAAAUAGAUGCAUUUUGAGGUCAUAUAGUAUUGAAAGGGCAAAGAACAUUAUAGUAUGAUUUACAGGGAAGAUUAUCUGAUUUUUUCUUUAAUUCACAGUAACAGUCACUGUUAAAAUGAGUUUGUACUUUGCUGAAGAGUGGUAUAUAUGCUAUGCAAAACUACAAUCCCUUGGCUGCUCUAACACUAGGGAACUCAAUUCCUUCCACAAGUUCCUGUUACUCCAAGGAA